GGGUUUUUUUGGGGUUUCUUUGGGAUUUCUUUGGAAUUUUUUUGGGAUUUUUUUGGGAUUUUUUUUGAAUUAUUUUUAAAUUUUUUGGGGAUUUUUUGGGGGAUUUUUUGGGAUUUUUUGGGGAUUUUUUUGGGAUUUUUUUUAGAUUUCUUUGGGAUUUUUUGGGAUUUUUUUCAGGAUUUUUUGGAAUUUUUUUGGGGAUUUUUUGGGAUUUUUUGGGGUUUUUUGGGGAUUUUAUUUUGGAUUUUUUUGGGAUUUUUUGGGGGAUUUUUUGAGGAUUUUUUGGGAUUUCUUUGGGAUCUUUUUGGGAUUUUUUUUUUAUUUUUUUUGAAUUUUUGGGGGAUUUUUCGGGGAUUUUUUUGGGGAUUUUUUGAGGAUUUUUUGGGGAUUUUUUUGGGGAUUUUUUGGUGGAUUUUGGGGUGAGGAAAUGAGGAUUUUGGAGUGUGGGGGAGGGGCCAGGUGUGUCCAGGUGUGUCCCCAGGUGUGUCCAGGUGUCCCCAGGUGCGUUCCAGACCAGGUUCCAGAACGUUCUAGAGGUUCUAGACUCGGUUCUAGAUCGGGUUCUAGAUCGGGUUCUAGAACGUUCUAGGUACGUUCCAGAUCAGGUUCUAGAACGUUCUAGAUCGGGUUCUAGGUGUGCUCUAGGUACGUUCUAGAGGUUCUAGAUCACGUUCUAGAACGUUCUAGACUCGGUUCUAGACUCGGUUCUCGAUCGGGUUCCGGACUGUUCCAGAACCGGUUCCAGACUGGGUUCCAGAGCAGGUUCCAGACUGGGUCCCCAGGUGUGUCCAGGUGUGUCCCAGGUGUCCCCAGGUGUGUCCAGGUGUCCCCAGGUGUGUUCAGGUGUUCUCCAGGUGUGUUCAGGUGUGUCCAGGUGUUCUCCAGGUGUAUCUCAGGUGUAUUUUAGGUGUCCCCAGCUGUUCUAGGUGUAUCUCAGGUGUCCCCAGGUGUAUCUCAGGUGUCCCCAGGUGUAUCUCAGGUGUGUCCCCAGCUGUCCCCAGCUGUGUCCCAGGUGUGUCCCCAGCCCCCCCAGGUGUGUCCAGGUGUGUCCAGGUGUCCCCAGGUGUAUCUGAGGUGUCCCCAGGUGUGUCCCCAGGUGUUCCAGGUGUGUCCCCAGCUGUGUCAGGUGUAUCCAGGUGUAUCUCAGGUGUCCCCAGCUGUUCCAGGUGUCCCCAGGUGUGUCCCAGGUGUAUCUCAGGUGUAUCUCAGGUGUAUCCAGGUGUCCCCAGGUGUAUCUCAGGUGUGUCCCCAGCUGUCCCCAGGUGUCCCCAGGUGUCCCCAGGUGUCCCAGGUGUCCCCUGUCCCCGCAGGAAGAUCCAGGAGGAAUCUCUCCGCACGUACCUGUUCACCUACAGCAGCGUCUACGACUCCAUCAGGUGGAUUUGGGCUGAAAAACGGGGA
ensembl:lncRNA